UACGGAGGGAGCUAGCGUUGUUCGGAAUUACUGGGCGUAAAGCGCACGUAGGCGGCUUUUUAAGUCAGGGGUGAAAUCCCGGGGCUCAAACCCCGGAACUGCCUUUGAAACCUGGAGAGCUAGAAUCUUGGAGAGGCGAGUGGAAUUCCGAGUGUAGAGGUGAAAUUCGUAGAUAUUCGGAAGAACACCAGUGGCGAAGGCGACUCGCUGGACAAGUAUUGACGCUGAGGUGCGAAAGCGUGGGGAGCAAACAGG
rnacentral:rRNA from 1 species